rnacentral:rRNA from 1 species
GGGGAGGAGCCCAGAGCCUGAAUCAGUGUGUGUGUUAGUGGAAGCGUCUGGAAAGGCGCGCGAUACAGGGUGACAGCCCCGUACACAAAAAUGCACAUAUUGUGAGCUCGAUGAGUAGGGCGGGACACGUGGUAUCCUGUCUGAAUAUGGGGGGACCAUCCUCCAAGGCUAAAUACUCCUGACUGACCGAUAGUGAACCAGUACCGUGAGGGAAAGGCGAAAAGAACCCCGGCGAGGGGAGUGAAAAAGAACCUGAAACCGUGUACGUACAAGCAGUGGGAGCCUCUUUAUGGGGUGACUGCGUACCUUUUGUAUAAUGGGUCAGCGACUUAUAUUCUGUAGCAAGGUUAACCGAAUAGGGGAGCCGAAGGGAAACCGAGUCUUAACUGGGCGUUAAGUUGCAGGGUAUAGACCCGAAACCCGGUGAUCUAGCCAUGGGCAGGUUGAAGGUUGGGUAACACUAACUGGAGGACCGAACCGACUAAUGUUGAAAAAUUAGCGGAUGACUUGUGGCUGGGGGUGAAAGGCCAAUCAAACCGGGAGAUAGCUGGUUCUCCCCGAAAGCUAUUUAGGUAGCGCCUCGUGAAUUCAUCUCCGGGGGUAGAGCACUGUUUCGGCAAGGGGGUCAUCCCGACUUACCAACCCGAUGCAAACUGCGAAUACCGGAGAAUGUUAUCACGGGAGACACACGGCGGGUGCUAACGUCCGUCGUGAAGAGGGAAACAACCCAGACCGCCAGCUAAGGUCCCAAAGUCAUGGUUAAGUGGGAAACGAUGUGGGAAGGCCCAGACAGCCAGGAUGUUGGCUUAGAAGCAGCCAUCAUUUAAAGAAAGCGUAAUAGCUCACUGGUCGAGUCGGCCUGCGCGGAAGAUGUAACGGGGCUAAACCAUGCACCGAAGCUGCGGCAGCGACACUAUGUGUUGUUGGGUAGGGGAGCGUUCUGUAAGCCUGUGAAGGUGGCCUGUGAGGGUUGCUGGAGGUAUCAGAAGUGCGAAUGCUGACAUAAGUAACGAUAAAGCGGGUGAAAAGCCCGCUCGCCGGAAGACCAAGGGUUCCUGUCCAACGUUAAUCGGGGCAGGGUGAGUCGACCCCUAAGGCGAGGCCGAAAGGCGUAGUCGAUGGGAAACAGGUUAAUAUUCCUGUACUUGGUGUUACUGCGAAGGGGGGACGGAGAAGGCUAUGUUGGCCGGGCGACGGUUGUCCCGGUUUAAGCGUGUAGGCUGGUUUUCCAGGCAAAUCCGGAAAACCAAGGCUGAGGCGUGAUGACGAGGCACUACGGUGCUGAAGCGACAAAUGCCCUGCUUCCAGGAAAAGCCUCUAAGCAUCAGGUAACAUCAAAUCGUACCCCAAACCGACACAGGUGGUCAGGUAGAGAAUACCAAGGCGCUUGAGAGAACUCGGGUGAAGGAACUAGGCAAAAUGGUGCCGUAACUUCGGGAGAAGGCACGCUGAUAUGUAGGUGAAGCGACUUGCUCGUGGAGCUGAAAUCAGUCGAAGAUACCAGCUGGCUGCAACUGUUUAUUAAAAACACAGCACUGUGCAAACACGAAAGUGGACGUAUACGGUGUGACGCCUGCCCGGUGCCGGAAGGUUAAUUGAUGGGGUUAGCGGUAACGCGAAGCUCUUGAUCGAAGCCCCGGUAAACGGCGGCCGUAACUAUAACGGUCCUAAGGUAGCGAAAUUCCUUGUCGGGUAAGUUCCGACCUGCACGAAUGGCGUAAUGAUGGCCAGGCUGUCUCCACCCGAGACUCAGUGAAAUUGAACUCGCUGUGAAGAUGCAGUGUACCCGCGGCAAGACGGAAAGACCCCGUGAACCUUUACUAUAGCUUGACACUGAACAUUGAGCCUUGAUGUGUAGGAUAGGUGGGAGGCUUUGAAGUGUGGACGCCAGUCUGCAUGGAGCCGACCUUGAAAUACCACCCUUUAAUGUUUGAUGUUCUAACGUUGGCCCGUAAUCCGGGUUGCGGACAGUGUCUGGUGGGUAGUUUGACUGGGGCGGUCUCCUCCUAAAGAGUAACGGAGGAGCACGAAGGUUGGCUAAUCCUGGUCGGACAUCAGGAGGUUAGUGCAAUGGCAUAAGCCAGCUUGACUGCGAGCGUGACGGCGCGAGCAGGUGCGAAAGCAGGUCAUAGUGAUCCGGUGGUUCUGAAUGGAAGGGCCAUCGCUCAACGGAUAAAAGGUACUCCGGGGAUAACAGGCUGAUACCGCCCAAGAGUUCAUAUCGACGGCGGUGUUUGGCACCUCGAUGUCGGCUCAUCACAUCCUGGGGCUGAAGUAGGUCCCAAGGGUAUGGCUGUUCGCCAUUUAAAGUGGUACGCGAGCUGGGUUUAGAACGUCGUGAGACAGUUCGGUCCCUAUCUGCCGUGGGCGCUGGAGAACUGAGGGGGGCUGCUCCUAGUACGAGAGGACCGGAGUGGACGCAUCACUGGUGUUCGGGUUGUCAUGCCAAUGGCACUGCCCGGUAGCUAAAUGCGGAAGAGAUAAGUGCUGAAAGCAUCUAAGCACGAAACUUGC